UGAGUAAUACAUCGGAACGUGCCCGAUCGUGGGGGAUAACGAAGCGAAAGCUUUGCUAAUACCGCAUACGAUCUACGGAUGAAAGCAGGGGACCGCAAGGCCUUGCGCGAACGGAGCGGCCGAUGGCAGAUUAGGUAGUUGGUGGGAUAAAAGCUUACCAAGCCGACGAUCUGUAGCUGGUCUGAGAGGACGACCAGCCACACUGGGACUGAGACACGGCCCAGACUCCUACGGGAGGCAGCAGUGGGGAAUUUUGGACAAUGGGCGAAAGCCUGAUCCAGCCAUGCCGCGUGCAGGAUGAAGGCCUUCGGGUUGUAAACUGCUUUUGUACGGAACGAAAAGACUCUGGUUAAUACCUGGGGUCCAUGACGGUACCGUAAGAAUAAGCACCGGCUAACUACGUGCCAGCAGCCGCGGUAAUACGUAGGGUGCAAGCGUUAAUCGGAAUUACUGGGCGUAAAGCG
rnacentral:rRNA from 1 species